UACAGAGGGGGCAAGCGUUGAUCGGAAUUACUGGGCGUAAAGGGCGCGUAGGCGGCCCGCUAAGUCGAACGUGAAAUCCCCGAGCUCAACUCGGGAACUGCGUCCGAUACUGGUGGGCUUGAAUCCGGGAGAGGGAUGCGGAAUUCCAGGUGUAGCGGUGAAAUGCGUAGAUAUCGAGAGGAACACCUGCGGCGAAGGCGGGUUGCUGGGCCGACACUGACGCUGAUGCGCGAAAGCCAGGGGAGCGAACGGG
rnacentral:rRNA from 1 species